rnacentral:rRNA from 1 species
GGGGGGGGGGGGGGGGGGGGCGAGGGGAGGCGGGUCGAGCGGGCGGGCGGGGAGCGGGCUGCCCGGAGGUGAGCGGCGGACGGGUGAGUAACACGGGGAUAACCUACCUAUAAGGCUGGGAUAACUGCGGGAAACCGGAGCUAAGACCGGAUAAUAUUUUGAACCGCAUGGUUCAAAAGUGAAAGAAGUUCUUGCUGUCGCUUAUAGAUGGUCCCGCGCUGCUUUAGCUAGUUGGUACGGUAACGGCUUACGAAGGCAACGAUGCAUAGCCGACCUGAGAGGGUGAUCGGCCACACUGGAACUGAGACACGGUCCAGACUCAUACGGGAGGCAGCAGUAGGGAAUCUUCCGCAAUGGGCGAAAGCCUGACGGAGCAACGCCGCGUGAGUGAUGAAGGUCUUCGGAUCGUAAAACUCUGUUAUUAGGGAAGAACAUAUGUGUAAGUAACUGUGCACAUCUUGACGGUACCUAAUCAGAAAGCCACGGCUAACUACGUG